rnacentral:lncRNA from 1 species
CUCCUUCGUCCCUCUUCAGGGACCCCUCUCACGAGCAACUCCUCCUUCAGGAGGUGCGGAUGCUCCUCAACAAAGGAGCCGUAGAGGAGGUUCCAGAAGCCGAGUGGGGCAAGGGGUUUUAUUCCCGUUACUUUCUGAUCCCCAAAGCCAAGGGAGGCCUCAGGCCUGUCCUCGACCUGCGUGAACUCAACAGAUAUGUCGUGAAGUUGAAGUUCCGUAUGGUAUCCUUGGGGACCAUUAUCCCAUCCUUGGAUCCUGGAGACUGGUACAUCGCCCUCGACAUGCAAGAUGCAUACUUUCAUAUAGCCAUCUUCCCGCCGCACAGACGGUUCCUUCGGUUCGUGAUCAACCGCUGCCACUAUCAAUUCGCGGUCCUCCCAUUCGGCCUUUCCACGGCCCCGAGGGUGUUCACCAAAUGUAUGGCUGUAGUCGUCGCCCACCUCCGUCGCAGCCGCGUACAUGUAUUUCCGUACUCGACAACUGGCUGAUUCGGGGCCCAUCAGAGGCACAAGUCCUCAGCCAUGUCCGCAUGGUCAGCAGUCUCUUCGAGAACUUGGGUCUCAUCCUCAAUAUAGAAAGUCAGAGGAUAGAGUUUAUCGGAGCCCUUCUGGACUCUACUCUGGCCAGAGCUGUUCUUCCUCUAUCAAGGUUCCAGACCUUGACAGCCAUUAUACAACGACUGCAGACAGCACCUUUGACCUCCAUACGCACGUGCCUAACUCUAUUGGGCCACAUGGCGGCUUGCACGUUUGUCACGCAGUAUGCGCGGCUUCGCAUGAGGCCCCUCCAGUCCUGGCUCAUCAGUCAGUACCGUCCGGCCCAGCACCUUCUGGAUGCGGUUGUUACCGUUCCCCAGGACAUAUUAGGUUCCCUGCGGUAGUGGCUGGACCAGUCCGUGGUGUGUGCGGGGCUGCCAUUCCAUCUGCCCCAGCCUUCGGUGUCCCUGACAACAGAUGCCUCAGAUCUAGGUUGGGGGGCCCAUCUCAGAACCCUACGGACACAAGGUCGGUGGUCACCUCACGAACUAGCCCUCCACAUCAACGUACGGGAACUGAGGGCAGUCCGCCUUGCUUGCCAAACAUUCCAUCAUCAACUUCAAGGUCGCUGUGUCUCGGUAUUCACCGACAACACAACGACCAUGUAUUAUAUCAACAAGCAGGGUGGCACGAGGUCUUCUGCCCUGUGUCAGGAGACCGUGAGGCUCUGGGACUUCUGCAUAGCCCGCUCCAUUCACCUCAUCGCAUCCUUCCUUCCCGGGGUUCGGAACACGCUGGCGGAUCAUCUGAGCAGAUCCUUCCUUUCCCACGAGUGGUCCCUUCGCCCGGACGUUGCCCUUUCGCUCUUCCAGAGGUGGGGAUGUCCCCGGAUGGACCUCUUCACGUCCCGAGGGAACAGGAAAUGCCAGAUGUUCUGCUCCUUUCAAGGCCAGGAACCCGGUUUGGUAGCAGAUGCCUUCCUUAUCCCCUGGACGACGCAUCUGUUCUACGCAUUCCCUCCGUUCCCAUUAGUCCACAAG